rnacentral:rRNA from 1 species
AUUAUGCUACCUUUGCACAGUUAGAAUACUGCGGCCAUUUAAAAAUUUUCAGUGGGCAGGUUAGACUUUAAAUUUAUUUCAAAAAGACAUGUUUUUGUUAAACAGGCGAAUAUUAUUUUUGCCGAAUUCUUUACUUAAACUUAUCAUUUAAAUUUAUUUUACAAUAAAAUAUACUAAUUCUAUCAUUAUUACUUAAUUUUAAAAAUUAAAAUUAAUAUUUCAAUAAAAAUUUAAAAUAUAAUAAAUAAUUUAAUUUAUAAAAUAAAUUAUAACAUAAUUUUAAAUAAUUGCUAAUUCUAAGCAUAUAUUUUUUAAAUUUAUUUAUUAUUUAUAAAAAUUUAUUUUAUAGCUUAUCCCAUAAAAUAUUAAAAUUAUAAAUUAUUUAAUUAAAAAAUUUUUUAAAUAAAUUUAUAACUUCUAAAUUAAAUUUAUUUCUUGAAAAACUAGAUACCUUUAAAAACGAAUAACAUUUCAUUUCUAAUAUAAUAUUUAAAAUAAUUUUAUUACAUUAACUUUUAUAUUAUAUUAACUCUUUUAAAAUCGAGAAAAAUAUAUUUAAAUAUUUUUUAUUUAAUAAACGCUGAUACACAAGGUACGAUAAAUUAAAUCUUCUUUUAAAAUAAAAAUUUUUCAAAAUAUUUCAAUUUUCUUUUACAAUACUACUAAACUAUUAUUAAAAUUAUUUUUUCUUUAAACAAUACUAAAACUUUUUCUUAUAUAAUUAUUUUUAAUAUUUUUACUCAAAAUUAAUAAAAUUAAUAAAUAAAAUCUAA